rnacentral:rRNA from 1 species
AGAAUCAACGCUGGCGGCGUGCCUAACACAUGCAAGUCGCACGAGAAAGGGACUUCGGUCCUGAGUACAGUGGCGCACGGGUGAGUAACACGUGAAUCAUCUACCUUCGAGUGGGGAAUAACUGAGAGAAAUCUUAGCUAAUACCGCAUAAUACCUACGGGUCAAAGCAGCAAUGCGCUUGAAGAGGAGUUCGCGGCAGAUUAGUUAGUUGGCGGGGUAAUGGCCCACAAGACGAUGAUCUGUA